rnacentral:rRNA from 1 species
AGUGAACGCUGGCGGUAGGCCUAACACAUGCAAGUCGAACGGCAGCACAGUAAGAGCUUGCUCUUACGGGUGGCGAGUGGCGGACGGGUGAGGAAUACAUCGGAAUCUACUUUUUCGUGGGGGAUAACGUAGGGAAACUUACGCUAAUACCGCAUACGACCUACGGGUGAAAGCAGGGGAUCUUCGGACCUUGCGCGAUUGAAUGAGCCGAUGUCGGAUUAGCUAGUUGGCGGGGCAAAGGCCCACCAAGGCGACGAUCCGUAGCUGGUCUGAGAGGAUGAUCAGCCACACUGGAACUGAGACACGGUCCAGACUCCUACGGGAGGCAGCAGUGGGGAAUAUUGGACAGUGGGCGCAAGCCUGAUCCAGCCAUACCGCGUGGGUGAAGAAGGCCUUCGGGUUGUAAAGCCCUUUUGUUGGGAAAGAAAAGCAGCAGGUUAAUACCCCGCUGUUCUGACGGUACCCAAAGAAUAAGCACCGGCUAACUUCGUG